CGAGGAGGCCGCUGAGGAGGGCCGGGGCCGGGCUCGACGCGGGAAGAUGGCGGCGGGAAAGGAGGUUAAUGUUGAAGAAGGAAAAUGCGGAAGUCGCCAUUUGACAAGUUUUAUAAAUGAGAAUUAUUUGAAGCUCAGGAAUAAGUGAAGCUGAAAUUUGAAAAAAAAGAAAGUGAAUGCAUGCUAAUUAUCAGACCAGAAGUCCCACUUGUAGAAUAUUGAGCAAUUUGUGUGAAGUGGGGAAGAUGAAAGAAGUCAGAA